UGAGGAAUAUUGGACAUUGGGCGCAAGCCUGAUCAGCCAUGCCGCGUGCAGGAAGAAGCAUCUAUGGUGUGUAAACUGCUUUUGUACGGGAAGAAACACUCCUUCGUGAAGGAGCUUGACGGUACCGUAAGAAUAAGGAUCGGCUAACUCCGUGCCAGCAACCGCGGUAAUACGGAGGAUCCAAGCGUUAUCCGGAAUCAUUGGGUUUAAAGGGUCCGUAGGCGGUUUAGUAAGUCAGUGGUGAAAGCCCAUCGCUCAACGAUGGAACGGCCAUUGAUACUGCUAGACUUGAAUUAUUAGGAAGUAACUAGAAUAUGUAGUGUAGCGGUGAAAUGCUUAGAUAUUACAUGGAAUACCAAUUGCGAAGGCAGGUCACUAAGUCUUAACUGACGCUGAUGGACGAAAGCGUGGGGAGCGAACA
rnacentral:rRNA from 1 species